CACGUAGGCGGCGAAGCAAGUCGGGUGUGAAAGCCCUGGGCUCAACCCAGGAAGUGCAUUCGAAACUAUUUCGCUUGAAUCUCGGAGGGGGUCAGAGAAUUCCCGGUGUAGAGGUGAAAUUCGUAGAUAUCGGGAGGAAUACCAGUGGCGAAGGCGCUGACCUGGACGAAGAUUGACGCUGAGGUGCGAAAGCGCGGGGAGCAAACAG
rnacentral:rRNA from 1 species